CCUACGGGAGGCAGCAGUGGGGAAUAUUGGACAAUGGGGGAAACCCUGAUCCAGCGACGCCGCGUGUGUGAAGAAGUAUUUCGGUACGUAAAGCUCUAUCAGCAGGAAAGAAAAUGACGGUACCUGACUAAGAAGCCCCGGCUAACUACGUGACAGCAGCCGCGGUAAUACGUAGGGGGCAAGCGUUAUCCGGAUUUACUGGGUGUAAAGGUAGCGUAGACGGCAGCGCAAGACUGGAGGGAAAUGCCCGGGCCCAACCCCGGAACUGGUCUUGAAACUGUGAAGCUGGAGUGCAGGAGAGGUGAGCGGAAAUCCUGGGGUAGCGGUGAAAUGCGUAGAGAUCAGGAGGAACACCGGGGGCGAAGGCGGCUUACUGGACUGUAACUGACGUUGAGGUGCGAAGGCGUGGGGAGCAAACAGGAUUAGAUACCCCUGUAGUC
rnacentral:rRNA from 1 species